GUUUCUGUAGUGUAGUGGUUAUCACAUUUGUCUCACAUGCAAAAGGUCCCUGGUUCAAAACCAGGUGAAAACA
rfam:Mesitornis unicolor contig26921, whole genome shotgun sequence.